UAAAAGGGAGCAGGUAACA
rnacentral:piRNA from 1 species